rnacentral:rRNA from 1 species
AGUGAACGCUGGCGGUAGGCCUAACACAUGCAAGUCGAACGGCAGCACAGUAAGAGCUUGCUCUUACGGGUGGCGAGUGGCGGACGGGUGAGGAAUACAUCGGAAUCUACUUUUUCGUGGGGGAUAACGUAGGGAAACUUACGCUAAUACCGCAUACGACCUACGGGUGAAAGCAGUGGAUCUUCGGACCUUGCGCGAUUGAAUGAGCCGAUGUCGGAUUAGCUAGUUGGCGGGGUAAAGGCCCACCAAGGCGACGAUCCGUAGCUGGUCUGAGAGGAUGAUCAGCCACACUGGAACUGAGACACGGUCCAGACUCCUACGGGAGGCAGCAGUGGGGAAUAUUGGACAAUGGGCGCAAGCCUGAUCCAGCCAUACCGCGUGAGUGAAGAAGGCCUUCGGGUUGUAAAGCCCUUUUGUUGGGAAAGAAAAGCAGCAGGUUAAUACCCCGCUGUUCUGACGGUACCCAAAGAAUAAGCACCGGCUAACUUCGUG